rnacentral:lncRNA from 1 species
CAUAGAGAUAUAGACACAGAUGCAAAUACAGUCACAUAGAGAUAUAGACACACACUUAUACACACAUAUAUGUAAAUAUACACACAGUCUCAUUCACUUUAUACCACACAUGUAUAAACAUACACAAUUGUAUGUAGACACACAUACACAUAGGUACUCAGACCACAUAGAUACAUAUGUACACACAUACAAAUAUAUGCACAUACACAGAUAUAUAUAUACACACAUGCAUCUUUAACCAGAACAACUUUACUUUUGUCAGUUUUAUAUGACAGAGUCUUUAAAAAAAGAUUUCAUCUGGCUUGUGUUCUACUAUUAAAAGAGAAAAUGAAUUUGCUUGUU